CUUUUUCUGAUAUAAGUUCAAUACUUAAAUGUUUAUAUCUAAUUAUGUUUUGGGGUAAGUUAAUCAUGUUUGAAUGUAAUGCUUAAGCUAGUUAAUGAAGUGUAAUGAGAGUAGAUACUCAUUUCCCGAUAUGUAAAGUUCAGGUGGCGCUGCCACAUUGGUUGGUGAAGCAGCGGUUAAUGCACAAUAAUUUUAGUGUCAUCCACCUGGGGUGGGUGAUUAGUUCAGUGCACAUUUUUCGUCUUAGACGUGGGUGAGGAGGUGGAACCCACGUGUUGAUAGGGUUUUAGACCUGGUUUGGUUUUGUAACAAUUAUGUCGUCUUUUGGUCAGUCGAUAUUCUGGUACGUGGUUGCCACGCUCUUUUGACUGUAAGAAAAAAGACCUUCAAGGAACCGGUGGAGCCAAGCCCCACACCAACUCCCCAUAUAUUCGUGGCGCACAUGAGUCAGUUGUUUGAGUUGUGUGCAUUUGUAGAUCAAGUGUCUUUAUCUAUGAGAUAUGUUCCAUGUUAGUGCUCAAAGUGGAUAUAUUUAUGUUUAAUAUAUAUAUUCUUGCUGGUUCCACUAAUGUUAAUGCUAUUACUUUAUUACUUAAAGAUUUUGUCAUUGAAGACACUAUCUGAUUCUAAGUUCAUUGCCUAUUGGUUUAUGCAUUGCAAUCAGUAUGAUGUGUAUGGGAACUUGUUCGGGCUCCUCGCCGCGCAUCCAGUCACUCCAUUGGUGUCACUACAUCACCUUGAUGUUGUUGAGCCAAUUUUCCCCAAUGUGAGCAGGGUUCAAGCCCUUCAGCGCCUUAUGUUGCCUACAAAUUUGGAUUCCGCAGGGAUCAUGCAGCAGUCCAUCUGCUAUGACAAAACCAAGAGUUGGACCAUUUCGGUUUCAUGGGGUUUUGCAGUUCAAGUUUUUAGAGGGAUCUUUUCACCACGGGAGAUAGAAAUGCCUUCGAGAACAUUCUUGAAUUGGUACAAAAGAGCAGAUUACACAGCAUAUGCAUUCAACACUCGCCCUGUUAGCCGAAAUCCAUGCCAAAAACCUUUUGUGUUCUACAUGUCAAGUGUGAGAAUGGAUUCUGAACUGAACAAAACUGUGAGUGAAUACGAGCGACACCAUGUUCCUCAUCCUCUUUGCAGGUGGAAGAUGGCUAAUCCUGAUGAGCUUGAAACAGUGAUCGUACAUAAGAAACCGGACCCUCAUUUGUGGGACAGAGUAAGUUUCAUUAUUUGUUACUUCAUUUGCACUUAUUCUUGAAAAGGUCAAUCUCUAAUCAGUUAUUCUUAAGAUUUUCGUCUGGAGAAUACUAUUCAUACUGACAUGGCUAUGGGGUUUUUUAAUUGGCAGUCGCCGAGGAGAAACUGUUGCAGGGUUAUGGAAUCAAAGGAGCGAAGAAGGAUGGUGAUAGAUGUGGGUGUAUGUAAGGAUGGUGAGGUGAGUGAAAUAUAGUUAUUAAUAGUUGAUUGAUUGUUUUUAUACAGUUUCUUUCAUUUAUGUUUACUAAUUUUAUGUCCCCCAAAUCAUCAUCUGUAUGCAAGAGUAGAGACAGUGUAAAUGGGGAAAACCAAGGUACUUAUAUAGAUUGUGUAAGAAAGUGCAGCUACAUACAAUUUU
rnacentral:lncRNA from 1 species